UACAGAGGUCUCAAGCGUUGUUCGGAUUCAUUGGGCGUAAAAGGGUGCGUAGGCGGCGCGGUAAGUCGGGUGUGAAAUCUCGGAGCUUAACUCCGAAACUGCAUUCGAUACUGCCGUGCUUGAGGACUGGAGAGGAGACUGGAAUUUACGGUGUAGCGGUGAAAUGCGUAGAUAUCGUGAGGAAGACCAGUGGCGAAGGCGGAUCUCUGGACAGCUCCUGACGCUGGAGGCGACGAAGGCUAGGGGAGCAAACGGG
rnacentral:rRNA from 1 species